GAUAAUAUUCAGGAAUUCAUUGGGAAGAACUGUGUUAUUAGCAAUAAUCAGCAUGGUUUUAUGAAACAUAGGUCAUGUCAAACUAACCUAAUUGCAUUCUAUGAAGAAGUAGGUAGAAGUAUAGAUCAGGGUGUUGCAGUGGAUGUGAUCUACUUGGAUUUUGCCAAGGCAUUUGAUAUGGUUCCUCACAAUAGGUUAGUCUUCAAACUAAAAGAAAUUGGUCUAGAC